CGUGUGGGCUUGGAAAUUCUCGUAAAAUGGCUUCAGCCGUUGACCAUUGACUGUGAACCGCUUUCCUGAUUCUUCACUCUCUAUUUCAACUGCGCCAUUUGUAAAUACUUCAGUCACAAUAAAAGGUCCUUGCCACCGAGAUCGAAGCUUACCUGGGAAUAGCUUUAAUACGGAGUUAUAAAGCAAAACUCUUUGUCCUACUGAGAAAUGCUUCUGAACUAUAUUUUUGUCAUGAAACAUCUUUGUUUUGUCCUUAUAAAUUCGAGCAUUCUCGUAGGCAUCAUUGCGAAUUUCCUCCAAUUCUUGAAUGUCCAAUUUCCUUGCCUUCCCCGCGGGCUCUAACUCCAUGUUACAUUGUCGAAUAGCCCAAUAAGCUUUAUGCUCCAACUCUACUGGUAGAUGACAUGCUUUGCCAAAAAC
rnacentral:lncRNA from 1 species